rnacentral:lncRNA from 1 species
UGUAAACUUUGAUUAUUUUAUUUUUGAAAAAACUUCAAAUGCCACCCCUGUGGUUUGACUUUUAUAUUUUAGUACCGUAUGAUUUGAAGUGUAUCAAUUUGGUAUCCGUGGUUUCAUUUUUUUCUUUUUAUUAUUCUUUUCACUAUUUUUUUUUUCCUUAAAUCAGUGACAAAGUUAAAACUAUAAGGAACUAAAAUGAAUAUUCGAUAAAUCUCGGUAAGGUAUCUAAAAUUUUUCGUAUAUAAUUUAACAAAAUAUUAACAAGGGAGCUAAUGAAAAGAGAAAAAUAAAAUCAUAGAAUACUAAAUUAAUACACUGUAAACUAUAUGGUACUAAAAUAAAAAAGUACGAAACUACAGAGGUAGUAUUUGAAGUUUUCCCUUCUAUUUUUUGAA